UGGAUAGCUCAGUCAGUAGAGCAGGAGACUUUUAAUUGCAGGGUUGUGGGUUCAAGCCCCACAUUGGGCAAAA